AGGCCCAGUUCGCGGGGUGGGCGCGCCCGGGACGCGCGGAGUCACCCUCUGGCGGGCGAGGGGCGGCUGCCUGGGGAGGGGCGGGGCGGGAGCGGGAGAGACCGAGCCCUGGCCGCCCCUCGGCUGCCGCGUCCCUCUCCGGUAAGGGGAGCCCUUCCCCGCCUCAGGGCCGGAGACCGGCUCCCUCCCGGGACAGAGGUUGGCACGUGUGUUCCGGAGAAGGUGAAGUCAGCCCAGCACCGCGGGAGGAGGCUAGAUCACUAAAUCACCUGGUCCUCUUGGGGUUGCUGUCGGUGAGCAGCGACAUUCUGCCCGUAGAGGACUCGGCUCGGCCUGGCACGCUCAAGAUCUGUUAGCUGCCAGUACCAUCACCACCAUUACCACGACCGCCGUCACACCAGCAGCAUCCGUGAGUCUCGCCUACUUUGCUUGUCAAGCAGAGGGCUUACGGCGUGACUGUAGUCCACCUUCGCCCUCCCUCGCAGCUGCAACUUUCCAGCGUGGACCUGCUCUCUCUACUCAAGUCUAGCUGGUGUCUGCUGGAGUUUGCAUCUGUGAACCUAUUCUGCAGAGACAUCAGAAGCAAGUUCGAGGGCAUACAGCUUGCAGCUCAACCUUGAGAAUCUUCCCUGAGGAGUCAGUACAGAACAGAAAAUCCUGUUCUCUGUCGCCAGAUGCAUAGUUCAUCUGCCAGCAGCUUUUAAGUGAAAGGGCCUCAGCAGAAGCUUUGGUAGAAAAUUACUCCAAGAAGUGGAAGCUCAAAAAAAGGAUGAGCAGGCCGAGCCUGGUGGCUCACGCCUGUAAUCCCAGCACUUUAGGAGGCCAAGGCGGGUGGAUCAUGAGGUCAAGAGAUCAAGACCAUCCUGGUCAACAUGGUGAAACCCCGACUCUACUAAAUAUACAAAAAAUUAGCUGGGCAUGGUGGUGCGUGCCUGUAAUCCCAGCUACUCAGGAGGCUGAGGCAGGAGAAUUGCCUGAACCCAGGAGGCAGAGGUUGCGGUGAGCCGAGAUCACGCCAUUGCACUCCAGCCUGGGUAACAAGAGCGAAAAACUCCGUCUCAAAAAAAAAAAAAAAAAAAGGAUGAGCAAGUAUGUAUAGUUUAAUCUGUGAUUUAUUAUGUUUCUCCACAUUUCUUCCUAUAGAUUUAAGUUCUCAUCUGAUGUUAUUUCUUUAUUUUACUACAGCUUGCUUCUCAUCCACUUCUUAUGAUCAAACAUAUUACAUUAUAUUACAGGCCUAACACUAAAAUUAUAUACAUAGUUUUUGCAGUUGCUUUUAAAUAAGUUAAGAAAAAAGAUGCAGUUAUGUGUCUUUUAUAAUUACGUAUAAUUAUCUUUACUGGCAAUCUUUGUUUUUUUUUUGGAUUACUGUUAGGUGUCACUCGCUUUCAGCCUGAAGAGCUUCCUCCAGUGUUUUAUUUUAAUGUAGGUUGGCUAGCAACAGAUUCUGUUUUUAUUUUUCUGAGAAUGUUUCUAUUUAAUCUUCAUUUUUGUAGAUCAUUUUUUGUAGUCUAUUUCUCCUUUUAAUUCUGCCAAUUUUUGUUUCAUGUACUUUGGUGAUCUGUUAUUAGGUGCAAAAAUGUUUAUAAUUGCUAUGUCUUUUGCUAUUAAACUUGUUAAUUAAUAUAUAAUGCCUGCUUUGUCUCUUGUAACUUUUUGAUUUAAAUUCUACAUUGUCUUCUGUUAAUACAGCCACCCCAGCUCAUUUUGAUUACUAUUUCUAUGAAAUAUCUUUUUCCAUCCUUUCACUUUUAACCUGUUUGUGUCUUUGGACCUAACAUGAGUCUCUUACAGGUAGCAUAUAGUUGGUCUUGUUCUUUUUUUUUUUGAGAUGGAGUUUUCCUCAUCGCCCAGGCUGGAGUGCAAAGGCAUGAUCUUGGCUCACUGCAACCCUCCCAGGUUCAAAUAAUUCUCCUACCUCAGCCUUGGAGUAGCUGGGAUUACAGGUAACUGCCACCAUGCCCAGCUAAUUUUUGUAUUUUAGUAGAGACAGGGUUUCACCAUGUUGACCAGGCUGGUCUCCACUCCUGACCUCAGGUGAUCCACCUGCCUCAGCCUCCCAAAGCGUUGGGAUUAUAGACAUGAGCCACCAUGCCUGGCUGGGUCUUGUUCUUUUUUUUUUUAAAUCCAUUCCUCCAAUCUCUGUCUCUUGAUUGGAAAGUUUAAUCCAAUACAUUUAAGUAAUUAUUGACAAGGAGGGACCUACUUCUGACAUUUCACCCUUUGUUUUAUAAAUGCCUUACAGCUUUUUUUGUCCCUUACUUCCUGCAUUAGAAUUUUCUUUGGUGUUCAGUGGAUUUUUUUAUAGUGAAAUAUUUUAAUUCUUUUCUCAUUUUCUCUUGUGUAUAAUUCUAUAACUAUUUUCUUUGUGGUUGCCAUGGGGAUUACACUUCACAUUGUACGGUUAUAACAUUGUAAUUUGAUUUAUGCCAGCUUAACUUUAAUCCAUACAAAAACUGUUACCAUAACAUCCCCUCUCAUUUAUUGAUAUUUCAAAAUUACAUCUUUAUACAUUGUGUGUCCAAAAAUAAAAACUCAUAAUUAUUAUUUAUUAUUAUUAUUAUUAUUUUUUGAGACGGAGUUUCGCUCUUGUUACCCAGGCUGGAGUGCAAUGGCGUGAUCUCGGCUCACCGCAACCUCCGCCUCCUGGGUUCAGGCAAUUCUCCUGCCUCAGCCUCCCAAGUAGCUGGAAUUAUAGGCAUGCGCCACCAUGCCCAGCUAAUUUUUUGUAUUUUUAGUAGAGACGGGGUUUCACCAUGUUGACCGGGAUUGACUCAAUCUCUCCACCUCGUGAUCCACCCGUCUCGGCCUCCCAAAGUGCUGGGAUUACAGGCUUGAGCCACCGCGCCCGGCCUAAACUCAUAAUUAUUUUUAAUGCAUUAGUCUCUUAUAUAGAAAAUAUGUGAAGUUACAAACCAAAGUUACAAUAAUACUAGCCUUUAGACUAAUAAAGAUUUAGACUAAUAGGCCAAGGUUUUCUAUUUCUUCAUUGAUAUUUCCAUUUUGUUCAUACAUCAUUUUCUUGAGUUUCUUCCAUUAAAGAUACUUCCUCUAUGUAUCUUUAAUGAAAUUAUUUUAAUAUUUUUGUUUAAUAGGUAUGCCACAUGGGCCUUCUAAGUGAUAGUUGCUGUUGGUUUAUCUUUUCCCUUUGAAUGGGUCAUACUUUCCUGUUUGUAUGCCUUGUAAUUUUUGUUGAAAACUGGACAUUUGAAUCUUAUGAUGUGGUAAACCCUGGAAAUUAGGUUCUCUCCCCUCUCCAAGGUUUGUUGUUAUUUUUGUCUUGUUUUGGCUUUUAUGGUGUUAGGCUGUCUCUGUGGCAAGGAUUAGCCUGAGGUGUAAAUUUAACAUAUCAGGUCUUUUCUGAACCUUCACACUUCUCUAAGUAAGCACAGUGACUUUCUAAUUCCCCCUCAUAUGUAUAAUUGUUUUCUAAUGCCCUGGUCUUUAAUGCCUGGCUCUCAAAAGGGGAAAAAGAGAAAAACGAAGGGGGUGAGGGGAAGACACCAACCAUUUAACUUCCUUGGAAGUUGCUUUAGCUAAAGGAGAAGGGGCUUGCAACUGUCCGUGGGGUGGAUGUAACAAUGGCUGUUCACCUGUGUUUGCAUCUCCAUGAUCAGAGCAGCAAUCAGUGAUCAGACAUUAAUCCUGAUAUUUGGAUUUUGGAUAUUGCCCACCUUGGCUUCCGUAAGUCAAGUCACAUGCAAGCUGCUCCUGUAGCUUGUACACUCCUGCCAUGGGGCUGGGGAUGGAAGAUGGGUAACUGCCACCAGGCCAAGAGCUGAUAUUGACCAAAAUUAAUCCCAGUUUGUAAUCCAAACCUUACCCCUACAAGUUGCAAGCCUUCAAUAGACUCGAGUUCCAAAAUAGUUACAUCAAAUUUUGCCAGUCUCAUUUAGGCAGUGAGACAGAUUUCCAGUGCUUCCUACUCUGCCAUCUUCCCAGAAUCAGAUCCCUUUAACUUCAUGUUUGAAAGAUAAUUUAGCUACCUAUAAGAUUCUUGAUUGAGUUUUCCCUUCAGCACCUUGAAUAUGCCAUCCACUGCCUUUUGUCCUCCAUUUUUUCUAAUGAGAACAUCAGCUGUUAAUCUUGUUGCCCUUGUAACUAGUCAUUUUUCUGUUAACUACUUUUGAAUUGUUUCAGCAUUUUUUACUAUUAUGUCUGGGAGUAGAUCUCUGCAUUCAUUCGACUUGGUCUUUAUUAAGCUUCUUGAAUGUGUGCUUUUUCAUCAAACUUGAGAAAUUUCUAGUCAUUACUUCUUCAAAUAUUUUCCUGCUCUCCCCUGCCCCUCGUCUUCUAGUACUCUCAUUAUGCAUAUUUGGUGGGUUUAAUGGUGUCCCAUAUUUCUCUGGGCUUCGGUUCAUUUUUCUUCAUUCUUUUUUUUUUUCUGUUUUUCAGAUAGCAUGAUCUGUACCUCAGGUUCACUGAUUUUUCUUCUGCCAGCUUGAACUACUGUUGAGCUUCUUUAGUGAAUUUUUCAUUCUGAUAUUGCACAACUCCCGAAUUUCCAUUUAGUUCUUUUCUGUUUGUAUCUCCUCGAUAUUUUCUUUUUGUUGAGAUAUUGUCAUCAUCCCUUCCUUUGCCUCUUUAGGCAUGGUUUCCAUUAGUUCUUUUGAAUGUCCUUAUAAUGGCUGUUUUUAUUAAAAUCCUUAUUAAGUCUGGCAUCUGGCCAUCUCACAGACUAUUUCUGGUGCAAGCAUUUUUCCCCCCGUGUAUGAAACAUUUUCCUUUUUCUCUGCACAUCUCAUAACUUUUUUUUGAAAACUGGAUGUUUUAGAUCACAUACUAUAGGACGUCUAGACACUGAUUCCAGCCACCCACUCACCCUCAUUCCCUGAGGCUUGCUAUCAUUGCUUGCUCCUUAUUUUUGAAACGGGUCUGACUGUUACCCAGGCCAGAGUGCAGUGGUGUGAUCUUGGCUCACUCCAGCCUUGACCUCUCAGACUUAGUCAUCUGCCCACUGCAGCUGCUUGAGUAGCUGGGACGACAGGCACAUGCCACCACACCUAACUAAUUUUUAUUUUUAUUUUUUUGGAGACAGAAUCUGGCACUGUUGCCCAGGCUGUAGUGCAGUGGCAUGAUCUCAGCUCACUGCCACUUCCAUAUCCUCGGUUCAAGCAAUUCUAUUUCAGCUUCCCAAGUAGUUGGGACUACAAGCGUGCGCCACCACGCCCAGCUAAAUUUUUUGUAUUUUUAGUAGAGACGGGGUUUCACCAUGUUGACCAGGAUGUUUUCUUUUUUUUUCUUCUUUUUCCUUUUUUUUCUCUUUUUUUUUUUCUUCUCUUUCUGACCAGGAUGUUUUCUAUCUCCUGACCUCAUGAUCCACCUGCCUUGGCCUCCCAAAGUGCUGGAAUUACAGGCGUGAGCCACUGUGCCCGGUCAGUUUUUUUUUUUUUUAAGAGAUGGGUUUCCACCAUGUUGCCCAGGCUGGUAUUAAACUUUUGAGUUAAAGCAAUCUGCUCAUCUCAGCCUCCCAAAGUGCUGGGAUUUCAGGCAUAUGCCACUGUGCCUGGCCCUGUUUGCACCUUUAUUUCAUUACUUGGCUGUUUAUGUCUUCUUCAGUGUGAAGUCUCUAAUUUCAUUCCUUAAAAGGUGCCGCUUUAGGUAUACACAGUCACCAGGUAUAAUAGUAGUUUUGGUUGGGCCUGGUGGCUCAUGCCUGUAAUCCCAGCACUUUGGGAGGCUGAGGCGGGAGGAUCAGAAGGUCAGGAGUUCAAGACCAGCAUGGCCAACACGGUGAAACCCCAUUUCUACUAAAAACACAAAAAUUAGCUGGGCAUGGUGGUGCCCACCUGUAAUCCCAACUACUCAGGAGGGUAAUUCAGGAGAAUCAUUUGAACCUGGGAGGUGGAGGUUGCAGUGAGCCAAGAUCACACCAGGGCACUUCAGCCUGGGCUACAAAGCGAGACUCCAUCUCACAAAACAAAACAAAACA